rnacentral:rRNA from 1 species
GACGAACGCUGGCGGCGUGCUUAACACAUGCAAGUCGAACGGAAAGGCCUCUUUCGGGGGGUACUCGAGUGGCGAACGGGUGAGUAACACGUGAGUAACCUGCCCUUGACUUUGGGAUAACUUCCGGAAACUGGGGCUAAUACCGGAUAGGAGCUCCUGCUGCCUGGGGGGGGUUGGAAAGUUUCGGCGGUUGGGGCUGGACUCGCGGCUUAUCAGCUAGUUGGUGGGGUAGUGGCUUACCAAGGCUUUGACGGGUAGCCGGCCGGAGAGGGUGACCGGCCACAUUGGGGCUGGGAUACGGCCCUGACUCCUACGGGUGGCAGCAGUGGCGAAUGUUGCACAAUGGGUGGAAGCCUGAUGCAGCAACGCCGUGUGCGGGAUGACGGCCUUCGGGUUGUAAGCCGCUUUCGCUCAUGACGAAGCGUUGUGUGACGGUAGUGGGUAAAGAAGCACCGGCUAACUACGUG